CGGCAGGCCUAACACAUGCAAGUCGAACGGGCACCUUCGGGUGUCAGUGGCAGACGGGUGAGUAACGCGUGGGAACCUACCCAGUAGUACGGAAUAGCCCGGGGAAACUCGGGGUAAUACCGUAUACGCCCUCCGGGGGAAAGAUUUAUCGCUAUUGGAUGGGCCCGCGUUGGAUUAGCUAGUUGGUGGGGUAAUGGCCUACCAAGGCAACGAUCCAUAGCUGGUCUGAGAGGAUGAUCAGCCACACUGGGACUGAGACACGGCCCAGACUCCUACGGGAGGCAGCAGUGGGGAAUAUUGGACAAUGGGCGCAAGCCUGAUCCAGCCAUGCCGCGUGAGUGAAGAAGGCCCUAGGGUUGUAAAGCUCUUUUGGCGGGGAAGAUAAUGACGGUACCCGCAGAAUAAGCCCCGGCUAACUUCGUGCCAGCAGCCGCGGUAAUACGAAGGGGGCUAGCGUUGUUCGGAAUUACUGGGCGUAAAGCGCACGCAGGCGGAUUGGUAAGUUAGGGGUGAAAUCCCGGGGCUUAACCUCGGAAUUGCCUUUGAUACUGCCAGUCUAGAGUCCGGGAGAGGUGAGUGGAAUUCCUAGUGUAGAGGUGAAAUUCGUAGAU
rnacentral:rRNA from 1 species